UACGGAGGGGGCUAGCGUUGUUCGGAAUUACUGGGCGUAAAGCGCACGUAGGCGGCUUUGUAAGUUAGAGGUGAAAGCCCAGGGCUUAACCCUGGAAUUGCCUUUAAGACUGCAUCGCUAGAAUUGUGGAGAGGUAAGUGGAAUUCCGAGUGUAGAGGUGAAAUUCGUAGAUAUUCGGAAGAACACCAGUGGCGAAGGCGGCUUUCUGGACGGUAACUGACGCUGAGACGCGAAAGCGUGGGGAGCAAACAGG
rnacentral:rRNA from 1 species